GACGAACGCUGGCGGCGUGCUUAACACAUGCAAGUCGAACGGAAAGGCCCUGCUUUUGUGGGGUGCUCGAGUGGCGAACGGGUGAGUAACACGCGAGUAACCUGCCCUUGACUUUGGGAUAACUUCAGGAAACUGGGGCUAAUACCGGAUAGGAGCUCCUGCUGCAUGGUGGGGGUUGGAAAGAUUCGGCGGUUGGGGAUGGACUCGCGGCUUAUCAGCUUGUUGGUGGGGUAGUGGCUUACCAAGGCUUUGACGGGUAGCCGGCCUGAGAGGGUGACCGGCCACAUUGCGACUGAGAUACGGCCCAGACUCCUACGGGAGGCAGCAGUGGGGAAUAUUGCACAAUGGGCGGAAGCCUGAUGCAGCGACGCCGCGUGCGGGAUGACGGCCUUCGGGUUGUAAACCGCUUUCGCCUGUGACGAAGCGUGAGUGACGGUAAUGGGUAAAGAAGCACCGGCUAACUACGUG
rnacentral:rRNA from 1 species